AGGGGUGUAGCUCAGCUGGUAGAGCAGCGGUCUCCAAAACCGCGUGUCGUGGGUUCGAAGCCUGUCACCCCUG
rnacentral:tRNA from 1 species